rnacentral:rRNA from 1 species
GACGAACACUGGCGGCGUGCCUAAUACAUGCAAGUUGAGCGCUGAAGGUUGGUACUUGUACCGACUGGAUGAGCAGCGAACGGGUGAGUAACGCGUGGGGAAUCUGCCUUUGAGCGGGGGACAACAUUUGGAAACGAAUGCUAAUACCGCAUAAAACUUUUAACACAAGUUUUAAGGUUGAAAGAAUCAAUUUCAUUACUCAAAGAUGAUCCCGCGUUGUAUUAGCUAGUUGGUGAGGUAAAGGCUCACCAAGGCGAUGAUACAUAGCCGACCUGAGAGGGUGAUCGGCCACAUUGGGACUGAGACACGGCCCAAACUCCUACGGGAGGCAGCAGUAGGGAAUCUUCGGCAAUGGACGAAAGUCUGACCGAGCAACGCCGCGUGAGUGAAGAAGGUUUUCGGAUCGUAAAACUCUGUUGGUAGAGAAGAACGUUGGUGAGAGUGGAAAGCUCAUCAAGUGACGGUAACUACCCAGAAAGGGACGGCUAACUACGUG